rnacentral:lncRNA from 10 species
UUUGCAAUGCUUGGAAAGUGUCUCAGGUGUGAGUUGGUGGAGCCUGCACUCCCAGCAGCUAAGGUGACAAGCGUUUUUCGGUUCUGCCAGGGGAUCUGAGUGGCACACAACAACAUCCACUAUGAAAUGUGGUGUGUGCUGGGUGGGGGCUGACUGAGGAGCUCGAGAGUAGGAGUGAGGCAGGCUAUUUUAAAGAGGUGGCAAGGGAAGGCCUCUCUGAGCAAAGGCAGAGACUUUAGGCAAAGACUUGAUUGGUGUGAGGAAGUGAGCCAUUCAAAGUCAAGGGCACCAGAGGUUCUAAGCAGAGGAAACAGCAAAUGCAAAGCAGAGAACAAGCUUGGCACAUUUGAGAACCAACAAUAAGUCCAGUGUGUCUGGAGCCACAGGAGUCAAGGAGACAGCAGCUGGCAGUUCAGCCAAUGGGCUACCAGGAAACCAGAUGGCAGAGAGCCUGGUAGACCACGGUAGAAGCAUAUGGGAAACUGCAUUCCGAUCCAGGGAAGUAUAGGAAGCAGUAAUAAAAGUGGGAAGACCUAUUAUAAGUUCGUUGCAGUCAUCCAGGUAAGAGGGGAUACUGGCUGAAAACAAGGUUUCAGCUAUGUGGGCCCUAGCUUGGAAGGGAUGGGAUUCUACAUAUGUUUUGUAGCUGGAAGCAGGAGUUUGAGGCUAAGAGAUGACCUGAGAAUAGAAUGAUUUUAGGUGUUAGGCCUGAGAGAUGAGGGCACAUUAGGGAGGAGCAUGUGCAGCGGGGGCAGGGCAUCCAGAAUGCUCUUUGGACAUCUUAUAUUUUAAGUGCCUGUCAGACACCCAAGUAGAGACGCCUGAUGUGAAGACAUGAAUAUCUGCAGCUUGAGGUCCUUCGUAAGAUCAUUUGAAAAUAAGAGUUGUGCUACUAAAAUAAAAUGUGCAAAAAAAAAUGCUGAUUUUCUCUCGAGGGCUCACCCCCCUGGACUCUGGGUGGUCCUGGGAGGAUGUGAACCCUGUACCCUGACUCCCAUCACUGAGGCCAAGAGUCUGGACCCCUCCUCCUCCUCCUGCCCCAGCACAGCAGGGAACCCGGCAGGACAGCUGUCCUCUAGGACUCUUGAGUUCACUCACUUCAGCCACCAAGCGCUGACUGUGUUUCCACCAAAGGGCAGUUCCUGCGGCUUCUACUCCCCCUCUCCAAGGUGCCAGGGUUACUGCCUGUCCUCCAGCCUUCCAUGGCAUCACUGUCUCUCCAGAUCAUCUCAUUCAAUUCUCUCAUUGCUCCAGUGAGCCUGGAUGGUUUUCUGUUGCCGACAACAAAAAACCCCAACUGAUACCAUUCCCCUUCCCCAAGGUCACUUACCCAGGGCAAGGUCCAGCCUGAGAUUUGAGUUCCUACUGAGUCCCCUACAGGGGCACAGCUAUGAGCUGAAUUGUGCCUCUCUCCAGGUUCAUUCCUAACCCCUGAGACCUCAGAAUGGGACAGUAUUUGGACACACGGUCUUUCUUGAGCUAAUACAGGUUAAAUAGUUUACUGAGGGGAUCCUCAUCCAAUACAACUGGUGUCCUUAUAAGAGGAAAUUGGGACACACAUUAGUGUGCAGUGGGAAGUCCAUGUGAGGACGGACAAAGAAGCUUGGCCAUCCACAAGCCCAGGAGAGAGACUCAGAACAAAUCAAUCUGCGGACACCUUGAUCUUGGGCUUCUAGCCUCCAGAACUGUGAGAAAAUACAUUUCUGUUGGGUAAGCGGCCCAGCCUGUGGUCCUUUGUCACGGCAGCCCUGGCAGACGAAUGCAGGCCGCACUUCCCACCGCCAUGGUGCCACUGUCUGUGGACAGCAUGCCAGCCUCAUCGCACGAGUUAUCCCUGAAGAUGCUCAAAUUAGCAGGCUGUUCUUAGAACCAAAUUUCCUGGACAGGCUUCAGAAAACAUUCUCCCUGGUGAUACAGACAUCUGAAAACACACACACACACACACACACCCAAGAAAACAAAAAACAAACAAAAAUGCCAAAAACAAAUAAAAAACCCAUGACCAAAAAAU